rnacentral:lncRNA from 1 species
AUCAAUACAUAGCAGGGUAUAGGACCAAAACUCAUGAUUCCAAUACACCUUACAUAGCUGGGUACACAACAACCAGUGCUUCCCACAAAGCCAAUCAACCUAAUUACCUUGCAGGGUAUAGGACCAAAACCGAUGAUUCCAAUACACCCUACAUAGCUGGGUAUACAACAACUAAUGCCCAUGUGGCAAAUAAUCAACCUAAUUACAUUGCAGGGUAUAGGACUAGCACCACCCAAGAAUCCAAUACACCUUCUUACAUUGCAGGGUAUAGGACUAGCACCACCCAAGAAUCCAAUACACCUUCUUACAUUGCAGGGUAUAGGACUAGCACCACCCAAGAAUCCAAUACACCUUACAUUGCAGGGUAUAGGACUAGCACCACCCAAGAAUCCAAUACACCUUACAUUGCAGGGUAUAGGACUAGCACCACCCAAGAAUCCAAUACACCUUACAUUGCAGGGUAUAGGACUAGAACCACCCAUGAUCCUAAUGCACCUUACAUAGCUGGGUACACAACAACUAGUGCCAAGAAAGCUCCAAAAGGGUCAUCUCAUGAUGAUACCACUGGACCUUACAUAACCCAAUAUGGUGGACCCGGUCCCAAAAAU